rnacentral:tRNA from 1 species
CGGCGUGUAGCGCAGCCUGGUAGCGCACCUGCUUUGGGAGCAGGGGGUCCAAGGUUCGAAUCCUUGUACGCCGA